UUCACAAGAACAAAUAUGAGGUUCGAGAACUGCACUCAUUUGCUGCGUGAAAAUUUCCUAUCUCAAUGGGAGGGUGGAGCCAUGUCUGAGUGGUUCUCGGUUCAGCAAUUGCAUCAAUGUUGUGGAUUGUGGUGUCGUCUUAGAAAAUUUGGCACUGUAAUUGACCACGAAAGAAAUGGAGGAUAAUCCCCCUUCACACGGUAUGGCUACACGCCAGGAAAUUGUCACUUCGAAUAUAUUGUGUUGCUAAUUCCAAUAUAUCACCCAAGUCAUAUCAGUGACUUGAAACAGAUGCUGAGCAUGGUCUUCUUAAACUGCCAAAAAUUAAGGAAAACCAAGGUAUUAACAAAUGUAAUAUUGUCAUGCAUAUACAGAAGAGAAUUCAUUGUCAAUUUAGAAAAACAUUUUGAACUAUUAUAGAGUAUGGACAGACAGGUGAUAUGUAAAAUGUGGGAAAUAAAAAGAAGUUUGACUUUUUUAAAGAAGGCUGCACAAGGGUGAUUGGGGAAGCAAAAAUGUUAUAAUUGAGUUUACAUGUACAAGGAGUGCUUAUAGAUGCACCUGUAAGAUGAAUAUGGCUAAAUAUGCCUGCUAUUUUGUAUCACAAUAGAGAUCUCUUAAUUAAUUAAG